AACGAACGCUGGCGGCAGGCCUGACACAUGCAAGUCGAACGCUCCGCAAGGGGAGUGGCGCACGGGUGAGUAACACGUGGGAACCUACCCUCUGGUACGGAACAACCAAGGGAAACUCUGGCUGAUACCGUAUACGACCUCCGGGUGAAAGAUUGAUCGCCGGAAGAGGGGCCCGCGUUCCGAUUAGGUAGUUGGUGAGGUAACGGCUCACCAAGCCUGCGGUCGGUAGCUGGUCUGAGAGGANGACCAGCCACACUGGGACUGAGACACGGCCCAGACUCCUACGGGAGGCAGCAGUGGGGAAUCUUGCGCAAUGGGCGAAAGCCUGACGCAGCGACGCCGCGUGAGGGAUGACGGCCU
rnacentral:rRNA from 1 species